rnacentral:sRNA from 1 species
UAAAUAUCUUGUUUUGAACAUCGGUUUGC